rnacentral:rRNA from 1 species
UACGGGGGGGUAAGCGUUGUUCGGAAUUACUGGCGUAAAGGGCGCGUAGGCGGCUCGGCACGUCCGUUGUGAAAUCGCCCGGCUCAACUGGGCGGGGUCGGCGGAUACGGCCGAGCUGGAGCAAGCGUAGGGGGUAAUGGAAUUCCCGGUGUAGUGGUGGAAUGCGUAGAUAUCGGGAGGAACACCAGCGGCGAAGGCGGGUCGUCUGGACAGUUCCUGACGCUGAGGCACGAAGGCCAGGGGAGCAAACCGGGG